rnacentral:rRNA from 1 species
AUGAACGCUAGCUACAGGCUUAACACAUGCAAGUCGAGGGGCAGCAUGGUCUUAGCUUGCUAAGGCCGAUGGCGACCGGCGCACGGGUGAGUAACACGUAUCCAACCUGCCGUCUACUCUUGGACAGCCUUCUGAAAGGAAGAUUAAUACAAGAUGGCAUCAUGAGUCCGCAUGUUCACAUGAUUAAAGGUAUUCCGGUAGACGAUGGGGAUGCGUUCCAUUAGAUAGUAGGCGGGGUAACGGCCCACCUAGUCUUCGAUGGAUAGGGGUUCUGAGAGGAAGGUCCCCCACAUUGGAACUGAGACACGGUCCAAACUCCUACGGGAGGCAGCAGUGAGGAAUAUUGGUCAAUGGGCGAGAGCCUGAACCAGCCAAGUAGCGUGAAGGAUGACUGCCCUAUGGGUUGUAAACUUCUUUUAUAAAGGAAUAAAGUCGGGUAUGCAUACCCGUUUGCAUGUACUUUAUGAAUAAGGAUCGGCUAACUCCGUGCCAGCAGCCGCGGUAAUACGGAGGAUCCGAGCGUUAUCCGGAUUUAUUGGGUUUAAAGGGAGCGUAGAUGGAUGUUUAAGUCAGUUGUGAAAGUUUGCGGCUCAACCGUAAAAUUGCAGUUGAUACUGGAUAUCUUGAGUGCAGUUGAGGCAGGCGGAAUUCGUGGUGUAGCGGUGAAAUGCUUAGAUAUCACGAAGAACUCCGAUUGCGAAGGCAGCCUGCUAAGCUGCAACUGACAUUGAGGCUCGAAAGUGUGGGUAUCAAACAGGAUUAGAUACCCUGGUAGUCCACACAGUAAACGAUGAAUACUCGCUGUUUGCGAUAUACAGUAAGCGGCCAAGCGAAAGCAUUAAGUAUUCCACCUGGGGAGUACGCCGGCAACGGUGAAACUCAAAGGAAUUGACGGGGGCCCGCACAAGCGGAGGAACAUGUGGUUUAAUUCGAUGAUACGCGAGGAACCUUACCCGGGCUUAAAUUGCAGAUGAAUUACGGUGAAAGCCGUAAGCCGCAAGGCAUCUGUGAAGGUGCUGCAUGGUUGUCGUCAGCUCGUGCCGUGAGGUGUCGGCUUAAGUGCCAUAACGAGCGCAACCCUUGUUGUCAGUUACUAACAGGUCAUGCUGAGGACUCUGACAAGACUGCCAUCGUAAGAUGUGAGGAAGGUGGGGAUGACGUCAAAUCAGCACGGCCCUUACGUCCGGGGCUACACACGUGUUACAAUGGGGGGUACAGAGGGCCGCUACCACGCGAGUGGAUGCCAAUCCCAAAAACCUCUCUCAGUUCGGACUGGAGUCUGCAACCCGACUCCACGAAGCUGGAUUCGCUAGUAAUCGCGCAUCAGCCACGGCGCGGUGAAUACGUUCCCGGGCCUUGUACACACCGCCCGUCAAGCCAUGGGAGCCGGGGGUACCUGAAGUGCGUAACCGCGAGGAGCGCCCUAGGGUAAAACUGGUGACUGGGGCU